GAAGGGUCGUGGCUCAGUGAUAGAGCAUCUGCUUGGCACGCAGAAGAUCCCAAAUUCAAUCCCCAGGAUCUUCA
rnacentral:tRNA from 1 species